rnacentral:rRNA from 1 species
GAUGAACGCUGGCGGCGUGCCUAAUACAUGCAAGUCGAGCGAACAGACGAGGAGCUUGCUCCUCUGACGUUAGCGGCGGACGGGUGAGUAACACGUGGAUAACCUACCAAUAAGACUGGGAUAACUUCGGGAAACCGGAGCUAAUACCGGAUAAUAUAUUGAACCGCAUGGUUCAAUAGUGAAAGACGGUUUUGCUGUCACUUAUAGAUGGAUCCGCGCCGCAUUAGCUAGUUGGUAAGGUAACGGCUUACCAAGGCGACGAUGCGUAGCCGACCUGAGAGGGUGACGGGCCCACUGGGACUUAGGAACGGGCCCAAACUCCAAGGGGAGGAAGCAGUGGGAAACCUUCCGCAAGGGGCGAAGGCCGGACGGAGAAACGCCGGGGGGGGGAGGAGGUCUUUGGAUUCGUAAAACCCUGUUUUUGGGAAAAAAAAAAUGUGAAAGAAACUAUGCCCUUUUGGAGGGUACCAAAUAAAAAAGCCACGGCAAACUACGG